ACAACAUACAACGAUAUCUUGUCGUUUCAGGAUGCUAAGACAACUAAGGAUUUUUAUCCGGUUAUGCCGCCUAGGUGUUUUGGUAUCAGCAAUGGGGAUAAUGCUUUUCCUGGGGAGACGGAUCUGUGGUGAAACUCUUUGAUCAUCAAAACACG